rnacentral:rRNA from 1 species
UCGAGAAUUUUUCUCAAUGGGGGAAACCCUGAAGGAGCGACGCCGCGUGGAGGAUGAAGGCUUUCGGGUUGUAAACUCCUGUCAUUUGGGAACAAGACCUUACGUUAACUGCGUGGAGGGUUGAUAGUACCAGAAGAGGAAGAGACGGCUAACUCUGUGCCAGCAGCCGCGGUAAUACAGAGGUCUCAAGCGUUGUUCGGAUUCAUUGGGCGUAAAGGGCGCGUAGGCGGCGAGGUAAGUCUGGUGUGAAAUCUAGGAGCUCAACUCCUAAACUGCACUGGAUACUGCUUUGCUUGAGGACUGGAGAGGAGAUUGGAAUUCACGGUGUAGCAGUGAAAUGCGUAGAUAUCGUGAGGAAGACCAGUGGCGAAGGCGGAUCUCUGGACAGUUCCUGACGCUGAGGCGCGAAGGCCAGGGGAGCAAACGG